ensembl:lncRNA
AUGAGAAUCUUCAACAUAAUGUAGCACAGCUCAUCUUGAAAUUUGAAAUUUCAAUCAUUUGAAUUAUCAAUUUUAUAUCAUGAAAUAAUGUUAAAAACUUGUAAAUUACAUUUAGAAAUGGGUGCACAUCACAGAGGCAGAAAAUUGUACAAUCAUCUUUCUCUAAUAAGUGACUGAUGUCCAUUUUCUUCUCCAAGAAUGAUAUUUCUUUGGUCCCUUCCCACUUCCUGAUGAACAAGUCUUCUUUCACAUCUGUAAACCCUCAGUUAGGGGGGUGCCGUCCCCCCGGGAUUUCCGCCUAUGGACACUCCUGGGAAAAAAAACACACACACAAUGACGUAAAAAUAUGUGGUUUUGGCGAGUUACCUCAUAAACUCAUCUUAAAUGAGUUAUUAAGCCCAAAAUGACCAUAAAGAGUUGGGAGAAAACGUCUCAGGAUUUAAAGAGACAGCGCUGCUUUUAAAGUGAAACCUGCUGUAGUGUGUGACUUAUCAAAGAACAAAAGAAAAAGAAAAAACACUCGACUGUUCUGCUUGCUGAUUAAAUUUUGUAUCUUAAUAAAGUUUCAUUAAUAUAGCUUAUGCAUACAAUUUAGAAUUUAUGUUAAGAUUUUUUUAAGUUCACCUAAAUUAAAAUUUGUUUUAUUGUUCAAAGCCUAAUAAAUGUUGAAAAUAAUGGCUUUCAAUUAUACUGUCAUGUUAAAUGGCUAUAAUUAAUGGCUAAAAUUGAGGGGAAAAUUAAUAUAAUAGAGACAUCGGUAACAUUAUUGGUAUCAAUGAUACUGGUCUUCAUUAAUAAUAGGCUAGUAAAAAGAUGUCAUUAAACAUAUUUAAAACGCCAUCUUUAUGUUGUUUCUAUAUUCAUUUGGAUAGCACUAAUGUUAACCUUUUAUAGCCUAGAUGCUACUGUAUGUAAUAUUAUUUCAUUUUACUGCUGAAUAGGCAUUUACAUUUAAUUUCUAAUUUUAAAGGGACCCCAGAAAGAGAUUGGGAUGGCCCCUACUCCCCUUCAAAUUUUCAGUUUGAUAAUCUGGACCUCAAAUGAAGCUAACUGAAUAGCCCUGAGUUAGAGUGUCUUUCUCUCUUUAUGUCCUCUAAGGAUUGUAGGCCUCUUCCUCAAGCAAUGUCAGCAGGCAAGUUGUGGUGCUGGUGCCAGUCCU